rnacentral:rRNA from 1 species
UACAGAGGGUGCGAGCGUUGUUCGGAAUUAUUGGGCGUAAAGGGCGCGUAGGCGGUGCGGUAAGUCACCUGUGAAAUCUCCUGGCUCAACUGGGAGCUUGCAGGCGAAACUGCCGUGCUGGAGUGUGGGAGAGGUGAGUGGAAUUCCCAGUGUAGCGGUGAAAUGCGUAGAUAUUGGGAGGAACACCAGUGGCGAAGGCGGCUCACUGGACCGGUUCUGACGCUGAGGCGCGAAAGCGUGGGGAGCAAACGGG